GGAUUUUGAGCUUCUUCUUCACUGAAAUCACUUCACUGAAAUACCUUGUCACAAAGACAGGAUGGCCACCCUUUUUUCUCACUCUGCCUCCAGGCCCUCCUUGUGGCCUGUAACUGGUCUCUGAAGCAAAUGCCUGAGCUGGAUGUGGAGAUUUACAUGGAAGGUGGGAUCUCACUUUGAGGCUACAAUGCAACUUCCUUUUCUUCGGAGAUGUGGAAGAACCUUUGUGUUCAUUCUGCCCAACUUUCAUAUUGCCCACUUCACUGAUGAAGCAAAGAGAGGAGGGAACCUGCCAUGAGAAGUUUCUUAAUGUUUAUCUUCUCUUCAUUUGUAGCUGGCCUUGAAUGAUAGGAGGUGAAUACUUUCUCCUGGCUCAGAGAGGUCACUGCAGAAUGUCAUGAAUGUUCUCCAUUGGGAAAAGGGAAGACAUUUUCUCUAAAGCUGCCUAUAUUGUACCUACUUUGUACAAAAAGAGGGUUUUACUCUAUGAUGCUGCAUUACCACCCCUUCAAUAAAAUUUGAAAAUCUGCAAA